rnacentral:rRNA from 1 species
AUUGAACGCUGGCGGCAGGCUUAACACAUGCAAGUCGAACGAGUGGCGGACGGGUGAGUAAUGUUUGGGAAUCUGGCUUAUGGAGGGGGAUAACUACGGGAAACUGUAGCUAAUACCGCAUACCAUAGGAUGAGCCCAAGUGGGAUUAGCUAGUUGGUGGGGUAAAGGCUCACCAAGCCGACGAUCCCUAGCUGGUCUGAGAGGAUGACCAGCCACACUGGGACUGAGAAACGGUCCAGACUCCUACGGGAGGCAGCAGUGGGGAAUAUUGCGCAAUGGGGGCAACCUGAUGCAGCCAUGCCGCGUGAAUGAAGAAGGCCUUCGGGUUGUAAAGUUCUUUCGGUAGGGAGGCGUUACCUACAGAAGAAGCACCGGCUAACUCCGUGCCAGCAGCCGCGGUAAUAC